rnacentral:rRNA from 1 species
UACAGAGGGUGCAAGCGUUGCUCGGAUUUACUGGGCGUAAAGCGUACGCAGACGGUGAGAAAGGUCGGAUGUGAAAGCCCCGGGCUCAACCCGGGAACUGCAUCCGAAACCAUCUCGCUAGAGUAUGAGAGAGGGGAGCGGAAUUCCUGGUGUAGAGGUGAAAUUCGUAGAUAUCAGGAGGAACAUCUGCGGCGAAGGCGGCUUCCUGGCUCAUUACUGACGUUCAGGUACGAAAGCGUGGGUAGCAAACAGG